AGAAUUCGCCCUCGCGGAUCCGCGGCCGCUUGCAGAGUUGAUCCUGGCUCAGGAUGAACGCUGGCGGCAUGCUAUGCACUAUGCUAAGUCGAACGGACACCUUCGGGUGUCAGUGGCGAACGGGUGAGUAACGUGUAGGAAUCUACCCCUGUGGAGGGGGAUAACAGCUGGAAACGGCUGCUAAUACCCCAUACAGGCGCAAGCUGUAAAGGAGUAAUCCGUCCAGGGAUGAGCCUGCGUCGGAUUAGCUAGUUGGUGGUGUAAUGGCCUACCAAGGCGACGAUCCGUAGCGGGUCUGAGAGGAUGGCCCGCCACACUGGGACUGAGACACGUCCCAGACUCCUACGGGAGGCAGCAGUGGGGGAAUUUUCCGUAAUGGGACGAAAGCUCUACGGAGCAAUGCCGCGUGAGGGAAGAAGGCCUUCGGGUCGUAAACCUCUUUUCUUGGGUACGAAGUUCUGACGGUACCCCAGGAAUAAGUCUCGUCUAACUCUUU
rnacentral:rRNA from 1 species